UGGGGAAUUUUGGACAAUGGGCGAAANCCUGAUCCAGCAAUGCCGCGUGUGUGAAGAAGGCCUUCGGGUUGUAAAGCACUUUUGUCCGGAAAGAAAUCCUUGGCUCUAAUACAGUCGGGGGAUGACGGUACCGGAAGAAUAAGCACCGGCUAACUACGUGCCAGCAGCCGCGGUAAUACGUAGGGUGCAAGCGUUAAUCGGAAUUACUGGGCGUAAAGCGUGCGCAGGCGGUUUGCUAAGACCGAUGUGAAAUCCCCGGGCUCAACCUGGGAACUGCAUUGGUGACUGGCAGGCUAGAGUAUGGCAGAGGGGGGUAGAAUUCCACGUGUAGCAGUGAAAUGCGUAGAGAUGUGGAGGAAUACCGAUGGCGAAGGCAGCCCCCUGGGCCAAUACUGACGCUCAUGCACGAAAGCGUGGGGAGCAAACAGGAUUAGAUACCCUGGUAGUCCACGCCCUAAACGAUGUCAACUAGUUGUUGGGGAUUCAUUUCCUUAGUAACGUAGCUAACGCGUGAAGUUGACCGCCUGGGGAGUACGGUCGCAAGAUUAAAACUCAAAUGAAUUGACGGGGUCAUAGCUG
rnacentral:rRNA from 1 species